GCCAGCGGCGAUAGCAGGUUGAAUGCACCAGUUCUCAAUAGAUCGCUGGAGUUAAGCAACGUUGGGUAAGGUUAGUAUCCGAAUCGGUGACCAUUUGGACAAUCGUGAGCCGCUGACU
rnacentral:rRNA from 1 species